rnacentral:lncRNA from 1 species
CACGCACCGCCCCGCUCGACUGCCGCCUCCCGCCAGCAGCUUCUGGAAAACGGCGCGCCGGCCCCCCGGGGCAGGAAGAAGGGCCAAAGAAGAGGGGGAAGGGGCUAGGACUUCCUGAGCACCAGCCUCCGAAGGCCUGAGGGAAGGGGAUUUCAGUUCUGAGUCGAAAAGUGAAGACCACUUCUGGGCAAAAUUGUAAAGCAGAGGAAGGGAAGAAAAUGGAAGAAGCAAGAAGCAAGGAUUGAGAAGAACUGCCAUGUGCCAGAUCAGCCCCCCUUGAAGUAAGAAAUGUCAUCAGGGUACUAAGAGAUAAAUAAGAAUGGAAACUUCUAGAAGAAAGAAAUCCACUAAGGUCGGUGAGUUUUAAAACCUAACAUUUCUUCUGGGCAUAAAAAUAACGCAUUAUUAUAGAAAUCCUGGGAAAGUAAGGUAAAUUUCUAGAAACGGAACUCAAAAUCAAAAAUGAAGGUAAUGUUUAAGUUUUUGCUGUAUGUUGCCCAAUUACCCCUAAUUCCACCAAUGUUCAUGUUUAAUUAUAUAACCAUACCUUACCACAAAGUGUUAACAAUUUUAAUUGACAACUUGACAAAAUAAAAUGGUAUCGAAUUUAUAAAUUUGCAUUUUAUUGAUUGCUAGGUCCAGUGUAUUGUUACUUCUCACUUGGAUUUUAUUUUUCUGUGUAUGGAAUUUCUUAGUUCUCCUACUGAGAUCUUCAUUUUCAUAUUAGUAAUUUACAAAAACUCUUUACAUACUAACCACUUAAUUUGGCGACUUAUAAACUGAGUGCUGUUCUCAUUUUUGAUCUGUCUACUCUUGAGCAUCACACUUAAACAAGUAUUUCUUUACAAUAUUAUUUUAAAAUCUCAACUGGCAAAGGAAUCACCUUGCACAUACAAUAUAGGAAAAUUUGCAGCUUUACUAUAGUUACACUGAAUUUAUAAAUGAUCUUUGGUAAUUAAUAUUACCUGUUUUUCAUUGUGCAUCUGUCUUUUUUGAUUCUUAAGCACCAUGUUUUCUUUGUGCUGAUGAAUCUUUUGUAGACCCUGUUUUUCACUGUAUAUGUGAGUGCACAUAUGUGUGUGCACGUGGGUGUUUAGCCCACUGUUUAGUUUUGAAUGAUGCACACAUCUCGAGGGCUGUCUCUUGAUCUUGUAUUACACAGCGAGAGCAUGGUCAGUCCCCCUUGCAUGCCCAGGCUCACCCUGGGAAUGCUGCUGCUGGAAUCUUGCCUCAGAUCACAAGCUGGAUGGCAGCUUGGGCUGUAUUUACAUUUUCAGUUCAGUGAUGUAGCAGUCUGAGAUGAGAGGGGGGAAGAGCCAUGUGUAUUAACCUUGCAGAGAACUUCUACUUUCUGAUUCGUUUUUGUUUUUGUUUUGUUUUGUUUUGUUGCUUUUUAGAGCUGUACCCGUGGCAUAUGGAAGUUCCAGGCAAGGGGGUGAAUCAGAGCUGCAGCUGCCAGCCUAACCACAGCCACAGCAAUGCAGGAUUUGAGCUGCAUCUGCGACCUAUACCACAGCUCAUGGCAAUGCUGGAUCCCCAACCCACUGAGCAAGGCCACAGAUUGAACCCACCUCCUCCUGGAUACUAGUCGGAUUCAGAUUCAUCUCUGCUGCACCACAAUGGGAACUCCCCACUUUCUUUUUUUGUUUUUAGUGUGACAGCUGCACCAGAUGUAUAGAUCAUCUUUCCAUAGGCACACAGUUUGACUGCGUUAUUCCUUUUCCCAGGGCUCCUAACUAAGAGAAACCUGACCAACUUGGUGUAGUUGUAUAGCUUGGUAUCCACCCUCAUCCCUCAUUGUCCCCAUGCUGCAGAACUGUAUUUUUAACCUUAGACAACUUACUUAACCUCUCUGUGUUAAAAUAGUAGUAACUACUCAACAGUUUAUUGUAAGAAUUAUACGAUGUAAUACAUAGAAAGAUCUCAGAACCAUGCCUGGCAUGUAGCAUAUAUCCAAAAAGGAUUAACUAAGUGGGGAGCCUAGCCUUCUCCUCUUGCCAAUAGUAGCAAGGCACCAGAAGUCGCUGAUGAAGGCUGGAUGGGAAGCCGGAACUGUCAUCCUCACUAUCUAGUAACAAACUCACCCUUCAUGAUACCAGUGAAGACCAUUUGAGGAAAUUGGACUUUGAUCCCACCCAGCAGUAAUGAGAUGCCCUCCUUAUACCCACUGUGAUGGUGUCAAAGAGGCCUAGGUAGGACUCAGGACUUUUACCACCACCCAGUAAUGAGGCCACCCCCUCCCUAUGGUGUCAGUGGAAGCCUCAUGAGUGAUGAGGUGCUCUUACUCAUCCCUGCCAGGGAGGUAUCAGUGGGGACCCAGUGGGGCCCAGAACUCUUGUCUUGACUCAGCAGUAAGGAGAAGGUAACACCCCAGGGUCUCAGUGGAGGCCAAGUGGAAAAGCUGGACCUUUAGCCCUACAUGGCAGCCACAAAUCUGUGACCCUUCCCUGCUUCCCCUGCCAGAGUUGUGAUGGAGGAAGCACACUGAAAUAGAAGAUUUAAAUAAGAUCCAGAGAUUCAUAAUAUAAUUCCCCAAUGGUAUGAACUUCCACCAAAAAUCGCUGGUUAUGCCAAGAACCAGAAAGAUCUCCAAUUGAAUGAAAAAAAAAAGAUAAUUGAUGGAUGCCAAAGAUGAUGGAGGUGUUAGAAUUAUCUGACAAAGAUUUUAAAGUAGCAAUGAUAAAUAGGCUUCAUCCUAUUUAGGAACAUUCUUGAAACAAGUGAAACACAGUCUCAGCUAAGACCUAGAAAAUCACAACAAAUAGUAGAUAUAAAAAUGAACUAAAUGGAAAUUUUAGGAGCUCAAAAGACAAUAAUGGAAAUGAAAACCUCAGUGAACAGAUUUAAGAAUAUGAGAAAAUCCCAAAACAGGAUGAAUCCAAGGAAUUCAUACCAACAGACAUCAUAAUGAAACAUCUGAAAGCUAAAAACAAAAAAUAUCUUGAUAGCAGCAAUAGAGAGAUGACAACUUACCUACAAGAGAAAAGCAAUUUUUUUUUUUUCUGUCUUUUUAGGUCCUCACCCAUGGCAUACGGAGGUUCCCAGGCUAGGAGUCCAAUCGGAACUGCAGCUGCCGGCCUCCACCACAGCCACAGCAAUGCAUGAUCCAAGCCAUGUCUGUUAUCUACACCACAGCUCACAGCAAUGCUGGAUCCUUAACCCACUGAGCAAGGCCAAGGAUCAAAUCUGCAUCCUCAUGGAUACUAGUUGGGUUUGCUGGCCAUUACGACCUGAACUCCAAGAAAAGCAAUUCAAAUGAAAGCACAUUUUUCAUCAGAAACCAUUAGACCAGAGGAAGUGGCACAACAUUUUUUAAGUGCUGAAAGAAAAUAAUUUUCAACCUCCAAUCCUGUAUCUAGAGACAGUAAUCUUCAGGAAUGAAGGGAAAAUCAGGACGCUGUGUGAUGAAGGAAAACUAAGGUAAUAGCUCAUUGGGAAAACUACCCGAAAAGAAGAGCUAGAAAAAUUUCUCUAAACGGAAUGCUAGUGAUAAGCAAAACAUUUUGGAACAUCAGGGAGAAAAGAGAGAAUGUGGUUAGCAAAAAUGAGUAAAUACAACAGGUUUCUCUCAAGUCUCCUAAAUUAUGUUUGAUGAUGCAAAAAUUAUAAUACUAUCUGAUAUGGUUAUAAAUUGCGUAGAGAAAAAAUUUAAAACAAUUAUUAUUAUUAUUAUUAUUAUUUGUCUUUUUGCCAUUUCUUGGGCCACUCCCACGGCAUAUGGAGGUUCCCAGGCUAGGGGUCUAAUCGGAGCUGAGCUGCCAGACUACACCAGAGCUGCAGCAAUGUGGGAUCCGAGCCGCAUCUGCUACCUACACCACAGCUCAUGGCAACGCCAGAUCAUUAACCCACUGAGCAAGGGCAGGGAUCGAACCUGCAACCUCAUGGUUCCUAGUCGGAUUCCUUAACCACUGCGCCACGACGGGAACUCCUAAAACAAUUAUAUUCUGCAAGUUCCUGUCAAGGCUCAGCAGUAAUGAACCCAACUAUUAACCAUGAGGACACGGGUUCGAUCCCCGGCCUCACUCAGUGGGUUAAGGAUCUGGCGUUGCCAUGAGCUGUGGUGUAGGUCACAGAAGCGGCUUGGGUCUAGCGUUGCUGUGGCUGUGGUGUAGGCUGGCAACUGCAGCUCCAAUUUGACCCUUAGCCUGGAAACUUCCAUAUGCCAAGGGUGUGGCCGUAAAAAGACAAAAAAUUUAAAAACCAAUUAUAGUCUGAAUGGGAAGAGUCAAGUUCCAUAUUGGGUGGUACGGUUUCUACACUUCACUAGAACUGGUAAAAUGAUGAUAGCAGUAACUUAUGCACAUAUACUGUAAUAUCUAGAGCAACCACUAAAAGAACUAUCUAAAUAGGCAUACUCAAAAACACUACAGAUCAAUAAAAAUGGAAUUCUGAAAAAUGCUUAAGUAACCCAGUGGAAGGCAAGAAAAAGAAAGGAGAUGUGAAAAACCAGGAGGGAAAAAAAAAAAAAAA